UACGGAGGGUGCGAGCGUUGUCCGGAAUCAUUGGGCGUAAAGGGCGCGUAGGUGGCCCGGUCAGUUCGUGGUGAAAGCGCGGGGCUCAACCCUGCGUCGGCCAUGAAUACUGCCGCGGCUGGAGCACUGUAGAGGCAGGCGGAAUUCCGGGUGUAGCGGUGAAAUGCGUAGAGAUCAGGAGGAACACCCGUGGCGAAGGCGGCCUUCUGGGUCCGCCCUGACGCUGAGGCGCGAAAGCGUGGGGAGCGAACGGG
rnacentral:rRNA from 1 species